rnacentral:lncRNA from 1 species
GAGCAAAGAUGGAGAGGAGGUCCCAGCCCCCGGGGCGCGGUGUUGCGCACGCGGGGGAGCUGGGCCGGGGAUAUGCGCACGUGUGCGCACGCGGCGGACAGGGACUAGGGGUGCACGUGCGUAUAUAAGCACCUGGGGAGGGGGACAGAAGCUGAGGAGGUGUGCACCUGUGCAUGUACACGGGUUUCCACCUGGCCGCGGACGGUUUCCCAAUUUAACCGCUUUUAUGCUGAUCACGCCCACUCUGCUUCUCCAGUAAAGCCCCUCCCGGCCUAAGACUGUUCACACCUUAGCGCUGGUUUCUUGAAGGGAGCAGAGAUCUUCGCGUUCUUUCUCUUCAGUACGCGGCACUCAGAGAAACCGGGAUCCAGGAGGAAGAGGGAUGCAGAAAUUGCCAGGCAGGGGAUUGAACCCACACCACAGCCGCAACCCGAGCCACUGCGGUGACAACACAAAUCCUUAAGCUGCUGAGCCACAGGACUCCAGGAUCAGUCAAUCUUAAGGACUCACAUGACUACUUACAGGCUGAAGCCACAGUCCUUUGAGAAGCUCCCCUUGGACCCGACAGCUUCUAGAAGAUCACGGCACCCAGUCUCCCCAGAUGUCUCCUUCCGGCCUCGUUUGCUACUUGAGCGCCCGUCUCUGCUCUUCCUCCGAAACGCCCACCUUGGCCAGGAGAGUAAUUCCUUUCAUCCCCUGACCACCAACCCUGCCGUCCAGCGCGGUGUCCUUCUGGGUGAUUUCAUGUUGCUGAGAUGACAUCGGGCUGUUUUUUAUGGAACCCCACAACGGAAGGUCCGAGGUCCUUCUCCUCGUGUCAUUUCCCUCCUCAGUAGAACCCAUGACCAUCGGCCAGGAGGGAAAGUGCCAGGAGCCAACAGCACGAUUUUGGGAAACUUGAUUUUAUGUUCAACCGAAUGCCUCUGCUCACGUCCCUACUGCUGUCCCCUUACCUCGCCGAGUCAGAGAAGGGCCCUGCAGCUUACCCGCUGCAAUGAGGCUGGGGUGACCUCGGGAGGUCAAUGAGCUCGGAUGAGUGAUCUCAGCUCCUCUCUGGCUCAGAUUUCUUUAGCUGAGAAAUAAGAAAAUAAAAAAUAAAGUUCUUUAUAAGA